GCAAACUUGGUCAUUUAGAGGAAGUAAAAGUCGUAACAAGGUUUCCGUAGGUGAACCUGCGGAAGGAUCAUUAUUGAAAGCUUCGGCUUACUUUGGUGAUAUUUUAAACCCCCACUAACAAAAAACUUUAUUUAGUUUUUGUUAGUGGAUAUUAUUUUACAAAAACUCUUUUGUAAUUAAGCUGUGUCUGUCUGAAAAAAAAAAAAGCUAAUGCUUUUAAAACUUUCAACAACGGAUCUCUUGGCUCCUGCAUCGAUGAAGAACGCAGC
rnacentral:misc_RNA from 1 species